rnacentral:rRNA from 1 species
UAGGGAAUCUUCGGCAAUGGGGGGAACCCCGACCGAGCAACGCCGUGUGAGUGUAGAAGGUUUUCGGAUCGUAUAGCUCUGUUGUUAAGGAAGAACGAGUGUGAGAAUGGAAAGUUCAUGCUUUGACGGUACUUAACCAGAAAGGGACGGCUAACUACGUGCCAGCAGCCGCGGUAAUACGUAGGUCCCGAGCGUUGUCCGGAUUUAUUGGGCGUAAAGCGAGCGCAGGCGGUUAGAAAAGUCUGAAGUGAAAGGCAGUGGCUCAACCAUUGUAGGCUUUGGAAACUGUUUAACUUGAGUGCAGAAGGGGAGAGUGGAAUUCCAUGUGUAGCGGUGAAAUGCGUAGAUAUAUGGAGGAACACCGGUGGCGAAAGCGGCUCUCUGGUCUGUAACUGACGCUGAGGCUCGAAAGCGUGGGGAGCGAACAGG